GGCGCAUUCGUCUAGCGGCCUAGGACACCGGCCUCUCACGUCGGGAACACGGGUUCGAUUCCCGUAUGCGCCA
rnacentral:tRNA from 1 species